CUGACGCCCGAUGUUUACGCGCCUCGUUCCAGCUCUCCACUAACUCUCUGACUUUAAAUGAAAGCCCAUAUUCACAGACAGCUCAACAUGUCUUUCUGUCAAGAGCUGCAUAUGAGAUUGAACCCGGGACGAAGAAGAGCUUUAACUGCAGAUCUGCUGAGGAAGAGCAUAAUUCAUGAUCUGGACUCCGGCCAAGCCGUGAUUAUUCCGCGCGGGAAGGACAUCAACAAUCGUGCCAGAUUAAUUUCAACGUCACCCGCAUUCAUUUAGAUAACGUGUUAACGCGCAGCCCUGUUGCUUUAACACAUGUGGAGCGAAUGGGGGCGACCUGUGGAGGAAACUCGCUGUGAACAGCGGUGUGUGUGACUGCGAACACACAGACUCUGUCAGGUGGAGGGUGAAUAACGUGCUAACGACUUAAACCAGCGGAGAGCGAGUGUGAGGACAGUCGCCGAGAGCCCGGCGCGUUUUGCAGGACGGAGGCAGUGGAGUAAGAAAACACACCGUCGAUCUGUAUCUAGGCCAGACUGAGAACAGCGAAGGUCCUCGGGGAGAAGAGAGGAACGAGAGACUGACUGAAGUCUCCUGAGGUGAAAGAGCAAAACAAACGUCUGGCUGACAUGCAUGGAAGAGUAAUACCAGACCUUAAAGAGGAGACAGAAGAUGGUGCAAGUGAAAUAUAUUGAGAAAAGGACGUGGUUUUAAUGAAUGUGAGUGAGGUAAACGGGUUGGUGUGUGUUGCGCUCCAGACACGAUUAGCUUCAUGGCUCUGGGCAAACAUGGCAUGCUGAUGCUCAUCACCAAUCUCAUUCACGUCGUUCCCGGCGUCUCUUUCUUCGUAUCCGUCCGCACCGGCCCGCCGGCGGAGUCGAGUCCGUCCACACUGAUACGCUUUAAUGUCUCCAGCCUCGCCUCUGCUCGGAGAAGGACAUUAACACACACCUCUGGCUGAUUUGCUUAAUUUCUGUAAAUGAGGCCUUUGGUCUCUGGAGUGACUUGGUGAAGUGGAUGGUAAUAUUUUAUAAUAUUGUCU